CUCACACACAUGUACACACUACAUGCAAAUGUACUCAUGAAAAGAAAAACAAAAACGAAAGGAUGGAGCAUGAGAAAAUGACACCUGCAUCUAUCCUGUGACCUCCACCUGCUUAUGCAUGCAUGCAGAUGUACAAACAGGUGCAGGUAUCUAUGCACACAUGUAUGCACACACACACACAGACGCACACAUACCACACACAUACAUACACACACACACACACACACACACAAACUACUUUAUACAGAAAGAGUUCUAUUAAAAAGGCAGGCUCUCUGGUCUUUUGCCAGCCCCUCCUCCCCAUCCCUGUCCCCUGCCCAGGGCAAAGGGCUUCUGUGCUGUGUGCAAGCUGGGGACUUUGAGAGGAUGCCAAGGUCAUGCAGCAGAGUAGAGCUGAGCGUGGACUCGUCUCCUCAGCGGCCUCACUGAGAGCAGGGUGGAAAACCCCAGUGGCAAAGGGGCCCUAUUUGUGGGGAAGCAGGAACUUCCGUAAAUAGCCACCUGCUUUGUUAAAGGGCCUACCUACCUACUCACUUCAGAAUGGAACUCCCCUCCUUGUCACACAUCAAUGACCAGAGGCAGAACAGACCCUGAGCUGUCGGAAUAGACAAGGACCGACUAGAAAGGCAGCCUAGAGUCGAUGGUUGAGGCCAGUGUGUUCCUGAUCUUCCUGACCGACUUGCUGUUGUGGCUUCUCGGAUUCAUCCAUCUGCCUGCAAAUUUCAAGACAUCAAUAUUUUUUUCUGCUGAGAGCCUACGAUUCUUACAGAUUUGUGAAGACAAACCACAAGGUGCUCCAGCAACCUCCGUCUUUGGGUGGGCGAAAACAUCCCCCCCUCCCUGCAAUGUUCUCCUCUUUCUUCCCUGUAGUGCCUGACCCAGACAGCAUUUUCAUAAGGAAAUAUGGACUGUCCUACAGCUUGGGGAAUAUUAUCAUAUUGACCACAAAAGAAGAAACAGGUGGUCCCAACAAAAGACAGAGCUUCUUCACUCUGUUUAAUCAAGCAACCAGGAGAGGUUUCAAAGAGCUGAACAAUCUUUAUAAAAUCCCCUCCCCACUCCCUCACCAUCAAAUGAUGGCCUGAUCCAGAAAUGCAGCUCAGAGGUAGAGCGUUGUCUAGCAUGCACGAGGCUUCAGCUUCAUGGCUUAGUGCCACUAAAAAAUAAAUGACACCCAAGUGCACUCUCAAGUACCACUUGAGACCUAAACCCUGCUCCUCUGACUGUUGGUCCGGAUGCUCUACUUUGAAGGUCUUUAGGCUCCACAUCCUGGUGAAAGAGAAAAUGGACAGAGGUACUUUGCUGGCUUAAGGAUCCUAACCUCCUCUUCAGAGCUGUGCUCCUCAGAUGAAUUUGCUCAAGUAGCCUCUAAAAGAAUGGUUGCAGAGAGGAACACGGUAUGUAUUCACUCAUAAGUGGAUUCUAACCAUAAUUAAAGGUCUUUGAGCCUAUUAUUCGUGAU